rnacentral:rRNA from 1 species
AGUGAACGCUGGCGGUAGGCCUAACACAUGCAAGUCGAACGGCAGCACAGGAGAGCUUGCUCUCUGGGUGGCGAGUGGCGGACGGGUGAGGAAUACAUCGGAAUCUACUCUGUCGUGGGGGAUAACGUAGGGAAACUUACGCUAAUACCGCAUACGACCUACGGGUGAAAGCAGGGGACCUUCGGGCCUUGCGCGAUUGAAUGAGCCGAUGUCGGAUUAGCUAGUUGGCGGGGUAAAGGCCCACCAAGGCGACGAUCCGUAGCUGGUCUGAAAGGAUGAUCAGCCACACUAGAACUGAGACACGGUCCAGACUCCUACGGGAGGCAGCAGUGGGGAAUAUUGGACGAUGCGCGCAAGCCUGAUCCAGCCCUACCGCGUGGGUGAAGAAGGCAUUCGGGUUGUAAAGCCCUUUUGUUGGGAAAGAAAUCCAGCUGGCUAAUACCCGGUUGGGAUGACGGUACCCAAAGAAUAAGCACCGGCUAACUUCGUGCCAGCAGCCGCGGUAA